GCCAGACUCCUACGGGAGGCAGCAGUGGGGGAUAUUGCACAAUGGGGGGAACCCUGAUGCAGCGACGCCGCGUGGGUGAAGGAGCGUUUCGGCGCGUAAAGCCCUAUCGGCAGGGAAGAAGGAGGACGGUACCUGACUAAGAAGCCCCGGCUAACUACGUGCCAGCAGCCGCGGUAAUACGUAGGGGGCAAGCGUUAUCCGGAUUUACUGGGUGUAAAGGGGGCGCAGACGGCAGCGCAAGCCAGGAGUGAAAGCCCGGGGCCCAACCCCGGGACUGCUCUUGGAACUGCGCGGCUGGAGUGCAGGAGGGGCAGGCGGAAUUCCUGGUGUAGCGGUGAAAUGCGUAGAUAUCAGGAGGAACACCGGUGGCGAAGGCGGCCUGCUGGACUGCGACUGACGUUGAGGCCCGAAAGCGUGGGGAGCAAACAGGAUUAGAUACCCCUGUAUUU
rnacentral:rRNA from 1 species